ACUGGCGGCGUGCCUAACACAUGCAAGUCGAACGGAGCAUUGACGCUGAUGAGAGAAGUAGCUUGCUAUAGAUCAAAUCUUGUUGAUGCUUAGUGGCGGACGGGUGAGGUAACGUGUGGAUAACCUGGUCCAGUCCAGGGGGAUAGCAGCGGGAAACUGCUGAUAAUACCGCAUAAGCGCACAGUAAGGCAUCUUACAGUGUGAAAAGAAAUAUCGGGAUGGAAUGGAUCCGCAUCUGAUUAGCCAGUUGGCGGGGUAAAGGCCCACCAAAGCGACGAUCAGUAGCCGGCCUGAGAGGGCGGACGGCCACAUUGGGACUGAGACGCGGCCCAGACUCCUACGGGAGGCAGCAGUGGGGGAUAUUGCACAAUGGGGGGAACCCUGAUGCAGCGACGCCGCGUGGGUGAAGAAGUAUUUCGGUAUGUAAAGCCCUAUCAGCAGGGAAGAUGAUGACGGUACCUGAGUAAGAAGCCCCGGCUAACUACGUGCCAGCCGCCGC
rnacentral:rRNA from 1 species